rnacentral:rRNA from 1 species
GACGAACGCUGGCGGCGUGCUUAACACAUGCAAGUCGACAAGAGUGGCGAACGGGUGAGUAACGCGUAUCAACCUGCCCUUCAGCGGGGGAUCACUACGCGAAAGCGUCGCUAAUACCGCAUACUAUUGUAGCGGCCGAUAUCGGAUUAGCUCGUGGGUUGGGUAACGGCUCACCACGGCGACGAUCCGUAGCGGGUUUGAGAGGACGACCAGCCACAAGGGGAAUGAGACACGGCCCAGAAUCCUACGGGAGGCAGCAGGGGGGAAGUGUGGACAAUGGGGGAAACCCGGAUCCAGCCAUCCCGAGUGUGCGAUGAAGGCCUUCGGGUUGUAAAGCACUUUUGGCAGGAAAGCGGUACCUGCAGAAUAAGCACCGGCUAACUACGUGCCAGCAGCCGCGGUAAUAC